rnacentral:lncRNA from 1 species
GUUCUGCCUCUGCUUACACAACACCAGCAGUUUGUUUUAUGCCGUAUCAGGCUGUUCGCCAGCAAUUACUUCUUGGCCUUAUUAAACAGUUCAAGGCUCAGACAUCUCUGGUUGUAAGAGAUUUGAUUUGUUAAAGAGCAUAUGGUUACCUUUAGGUAACCACAUGUACUGAUGUGUUUUCCUCUGCAGAGGUGAAAGAGACAAAGAGGUGGGAGCAGAAAUGCUGACAUGGGCAGGUUCCUGGGGUGCAGCUCCAGAUCUGUGGGUAUGGGGGACAAAGGUCUCAUCUCUUUUUUGGGGCAAGAAGCAUGAAACAGUGGGAACUUUGGGGGUGGGAACUCCAGAGGGUUCGGUGAAGGAGGAGUACAGUCACUGGGAGACAAAAUGGAGAGUGGGUAAAAUUUCUGUGCCACCGACUGGGAAAGUCCCCCAAUAUCCCCAGGACUUUGGCAUUUGAAUGAUUUCACAUUUCAGAUAAGGGAAAAAGUCUCAGCCUGUUCCUGUGAACCCCCCCGCCUCCAGGUCACCUUCUGCAUUCACCACCUGAUUUGCAAAUGGCUUUUGACCAAUUUUCCCCUGGUAGAUUACUUCUCACUAUUACUCUUCUACGUUGCUGCAGUACUCACCAAUGCCAUGCUGAGAGUACCCAGCUCCGACUGUGGGAAAUGAGAGGCGAAGCUCAAGCUUCACAAAGGUCAGCUAUGCUGCAGCAUGGUUUUUUGAAAAGCUGCAGAUGCCCUGACAUCAAGGGAGCUGUUGUUGUUCAUGUGCAGCACCCACUGAACAGACUGCAGCUCAACAGCAGCUUCAUUCUGGUGCUGGAUUGAGGCGGGUGGCUGCAUUGCAAUGCCAACGACAC